CCACUGUCCUUGGGAAAUUUAUUCAGUGCCUUCACCAUUUACUGAUGAACAUGAUGGCAUACUGAAGAGUCUAAAUUGGAAAGAGAAUGGAGAGGGUAGAGAGACCAGAGAGUGACAGAAGAAAGCUGAUCUUCAGCCUCCGUGUAAAACAUCAAGGAAGAAAUGAUUGAGAGAAUGGUGCAAUGAGUUCUGUGCAGGAAAAGGGAAGCUUCCUGGAGGAAAUGGGCUUGUGCUGAAUCUUCCAGUAAUGGGGAACAGAAAGCUGGAGUCUCUGGAAACCAACAGAACUUCCCUGCUUGUCAUGCCUCGUGAAAUUCAAGGAUUUCAGGAUAUUAAUUGUUUUGCCUCAGAAGUCAGGAACUGGUGAGAUCAAAGCUUUAUGCUGGAAACUCUUGGCUUUCAUUCCUUUUGGAGGAUAGACAUUGCUUGUCCUCAUGAAUAAAGAAGAUUUGUCAGCAACAAAAGGGAUUCUGAGACCAGUUUAGUAAAGAGGGAGGAUCUAACGUCUCCAGUCAUGAUGUAAAGCAAAGGAUAACCAGACUACAACCCACAGCUCCAGAGAAGCAAGCUAAGAAAAAAGACCUUAAGAGAGACACAUAGAGAGUCCUGCAAAGAAGAAAUAGAUGAGAUCUACAUGAGCAAACUGGGCAAUGCUUCAAUAUGAUGUGCCAAAUGAAUAACUGAUGGGGAAAGGAAGAUGCACGGAACUUCAAAUUAUAUAUACAUAUACAUAUAUAUGUAUAUAUACAUAUAUAUAUAUAUAAUGAAGCUAUGAUAUAAGAUAAACAACUGAUUGCUGAUUAUCCUACUUAAUUACAUUUCUACCAGACACAUGAAAAUAUCUCUUUGAAUACACACAUUAAGUAUUGAAUGUUUCUUAUAAUCUUUUCUGUUAAGCAUUUUAAAAUUAACAUUGUUGUGUUGACAAAACAGCACACAUUGGGAGUAGAUUAUCUACUCUUGGACUUGUACACUGGAGGUAGACACAUGAGGAUCAUGAGUUCAAAUGUAUCCUUCAAUCAUUACUGAAAUCUAUGCCAGGUUUAAUAUAAACAACACUAACUCAAGGGAAUUUGUGAAAACAUGAAAUCAAAACCAAACACCACAACCCACUACACUUUUCACAGAACAUCUUACUUGGAAAGUAUGAUCAUACACUGCCUGACAUUUAAAUAAACAAUGGACUAGUAAGAUGAUGGAUUUUUCAUUUUAUGUAUUACAGUAGAAAAAUAUAUAUCACUAAGUAAAAACACAAUGGAAGAUGAACAAAAGCCACAGAAGGAAUAUAAAGACCACAAAAGUAAAUUUAACUAAAAUGAAUUUGCCACACAUAUAGCACACUUUGGCAUCUUCCUCAAAUGUUUCAAAAUAGAAACAGGAAUGCAUUGAUCUCACCCAUCAGUCUUGACUAAACAUAGCAACUAAUUUACUUUUUUCAAGGCUAUGAUGAAAAGAAAAUGAAAUAAGAUCUUUUUCUUUAACCUGAAGACAACUGUGACGUCUAAAAUCUGUACCAAAUUGUUUACAUGAAUAAAAUUUUUCUUGUGCA